UUGACUUGACUUCAACUUUAUUAAUCCCCGAAGGGAAAUUUAGACUGUAAUUUAGAUUUACUGUACACUCCUGUUUGGAUUACUACAAACUGAUUGUAGAAGGAAUUUUGCAAGGCAUUUUGCAGGGUUUAAUAGAGACCCGGAAGCUGCACGAAUGUUUACUUGUCACGUCAUCAUCAUGGGAUUUCUCUGGACCAAGCCCUGGUUUACUCACAUCCAUCCAGUAUUUAAGGCACAGUACCACAGAUGCCAGAUUAAAUAGGCUACAGACUGUGACAUUACACUAACUGGACAAGAACAUCUGCUCAAGCUUUUGAUUUGCAGGAUGAAGACUUUACGUGCAAUGCUACUGAUGAUGUGUGUUGCAUCAGUCUUUUCAAAACCAUAUCCUUUGCGCAGAAGAUUUGAUUCAUCAGACUCUGAACAAUCUAGAAUUAGCUCAGAGGAAAGUGAUUCACGCAGAGACGAUUCACGGUCGUAUGAGAAGGAGUCUAAAUCAAGUGAAUCUGAAUCUUCAGAGGAAGAUGUGAGAGUUCUGAUGAGCACAUUCCCUCCAGCUAGCACAACAAAUCCACCGUCCGCUGGCAGAACAACAACACCAUCAACUACGCCACAAGGCAUCACAGAAUGCGUUAUUGUGGAUGUGAUAAUUGGUGGAAGGGGUGAUAAUGAUAAUGUCAAUACAAUAACUUGCUGUGCUACUGGUUAAUCCU